CUCCUCUUAGGAUCACACCUGGAGAGUUUCUAGGACUCCACCAGUCUUGGCUACAAGAGGGAGAGUCAAGCAGAGACAUACCCAUUCUAUUCCUAACUUGAGCAGUGGCUAGCAAGGGGAAGGGAAUCUGCUACAAGU
rfam:Ornithorhynchus anatinus chromosome 1, whole genome shotgun sequence.